rnacentral:rRNA from 1 species
UACGUAGGGUGCAAGCGUUGUCCGGAAUUAUUGGGCGUAAAGAGCUCGUAGGCGGUUUGUCGCGUCUGCUGUGAAAUCUGGAGGCUCAACCUCCAGCCUGCAGUGGGUACGGGCAGACUAGAGUGCGGUAGGGGAGAUUGGAACUCCUGGCGUAGCGGUGAAAUGCGCAGAUAUCGGGAAGAACACCCGUGGCGAAGGCGGCACUCUGGGACGGUACUGACGCUGAGACGCGAAAGCGUGGGGAGCGAACAGG